GACUCUUUGCAAAGGAUAUCUUGACUCUUGCAUCGACGAAGAAUAUAGAGAAAUGCGAUACUUUGUGUGAAUUGUAGAAUUCCAUGAACCAUCGAUUCUUUGAAUGCAAGUUGCGCUCGAAGCCAUUAGGCCGAGGGCACGCCUGCCUGGGUGUUG
rfam:Lupinus angustifolius cultivar Tanjil chromosome LG20, whole genome shotgun sequence.